rnacentral:lncRNA from 1 species
UUGGGUGUCCAAGAUUAAAAAGAUGGAAUCUUUUCUUGUUUUGAUUUAUGGGGCGUCGAAGAAAUCAUAGUAACUGUUUUGAUUUAGUAAAUGGGUGGAGAGUGAAUGAGAAAGAAACUUUUUUGGGGCUCUUUAUGAGGAGGAAAAAGAAGGGGGGCUAACAGUUAAGUGAUGUUGCUGUAUUUGGAAAUAUUGGUUAAGGAUUCAUGUCCAUGAUUCUUUCGUCUUCUGAGACCAGACAAGGACAAUCGAUGUUCAAAUGGUUGUGUUAUUUUAAGUUAACGGUUG